GACGAACGCUGGCGGCGUGCCUAACACAUGCAAGUCGAGCGGGGAGAUUGCCUUCGGGUGAUCUUCUAGCGGCGGACGGGUGAGUAACGCGUGAGCAACCUUUCCUCUACUGGGGAAUAACACCGGGAAACUGGUACUAAUACCGCAUGAGACCACAGCAUCGCAUGGUGCAGGGGUCAAAGAUUUAUCGGUAGAGGGUGGGCUCGCGUCUGAUUAGAUAGUUGGUGGGGUAACGGCCUACCAAGUCGACGAUCAGUAGCCGACCUGAGAGGGUGAUCGGCCACAUUGGGACUGAGACACGGCCCAAACUCCUACGGGAGGCAGCAGUGGGGAAUAUUGGGCAAUGGGGGAAACCCUGACCCAGCAACGCCGCGUGGAGGAAGAAGGUUUUCGGAUCGUAAACUCCUGUCCUCGGGGAAGAGCAGAAGACGGUACCUGAGGAGGAAGCCCCGGCUAACUACGUG
rnacentral:rRNA from 1 species